rnacentral:misc_RNA from 1 species
ACAAACUUGGUCAUUUAGAGGAAGUAAAAGUCGUAACAAGGUUUCCGUAGGUGAACCUGCGGAAGGAUCAUUAUCGUGGGGCUCCGGCCCUCUCGAGAUAGCGUCCUUGCCACAUUUUUCUGGAGCACUUCUUGUUUUCUCGGCGGGGACGCCCGCCCGAGGACCCCAAAAACCCUUUGCAACAACCUGAAAUCGUCUGAAAACAAACCAAAUCGUUAAAACUUUCAACAAUGGAUCUCUUGGUUCUGGCAUCGAUGAAGAACGCAGC